rnacentral:lncRNA from 1 species
GCUGCAGUCUAUAGAAUGCAUUACAAAACUACCUUCUAAUUAAAUUGAGCUUCCCAUGUUCCCAUAGGCAGGGAAGGAAACAUUCUGACAGGUAGCAUUAUCCCAAUUAUAAAAGUAAACACAUAAUUUCAAGGUCCAUGUCAGUUACUCAUCAGUCCUCAACCAAUAAGUCAACUUUGGGAGCACUCACAAAACUAUUUUUCUAGGUACAAAAGCUGGUGACCAGAACUUGAACCACUGUUACUUCAACUGGACACUUACUAUAAAAAAGGAGCAGCUUGGAAUUCUUUGCCACCACUUGGAAGAGGUUCUCCUCGAUAUUCCAGGAUUUUUGAAGACAAAAUAAUGUUAAUAAUAAAUAGGCUCACAGGAGGAAGGGACUUGCAUUGUCUCAG